AUUGAACGCUGGCGGCAAGCCUAACACAUGCAAGUCGAACGGUAGCACAGAGAGCUUGCUCUCGGGUGACGAGUGGCGGACGGGUGAGUAACGUCUGGGAAACUGCCCGAUGGAGGGGGAUAACUACUGGAAACGGUAGCUAAUACCGCAUAACGUCGCAAAACCAAAGUGGGGGACCUUCGGGCCUCACACCAUCGGAUGUGCCCAGAUGGGAUUAGCUAGUAGGUGGGGUAAUGGCUCACCUAGGCGACGAUCCCUAGCUGGUCUGAGAGGAUGACCAGCGACACUGGAACUGAGACACGGUCCAGACUCCUACGGGAGGCAGCAGUGGGGAAUAUUGCACAAUGGGCGCAAGCCUGAUGCAGCCAUGCCGCGUGUAUGAAGAAGGCCUUCGGGUUGUAAAGUACUUUCAGCGGGGAGGAAGGCGGUGAAGUUAAUAACUUCACCGAUUGACGUUACCCGCAGAAGAAGCACCGGCUAACUCCGUGCCAGCAGCCGCCGCAG
rnacentral:rRNA from 1 species